rnacentral:rRNA from 1 species
GACGAACGCUGGCGGCGUGCUUAACACAUGCAAGUCGAACGAUGAAGCUGGAGCUUGCUCCGGUGGAUUAGUGGCGAACGGGUGAGUAACACGUGAGUAAUCUGCCCUUGACUCUGGGAUAACUGCGGGAAACUGUAGCUAAUACCGGAUACGACACCUUCGGGCAUCCGAUGGGUGUGGAAAGAAUUUCGGUCAAGGAUGAACUCGCGGCCUAUCAGCUAGUUGGUGAGGUAAUGGCUCACCAAGGCGACGACGGGUAGCCGGCCUGAGAGGGUGACCGGCAACACGGGGACUGAGACACGGCCCAGACUCCUACGGGAGGCAGCAGUGGGGAAUAUUGCACAAUGGGCGAAAGCCUGAUGCAGCAACGCCGCGUGAGGGAUGAAGGCAUUCGGGUUGUAAACCUCUUUUAGUUGGGAAGAAGCGAAAGUGACGGUACCAACGGAAAAAGCACCGGCUAACUACGUGCCAGCAGCCGCCGUAA